rnacentral:rRNA from 1 species
UACGUAGGGUGCAAGCGUUGUCCGGAAUUAUUGGGCGUAAAGGGCUCGUAGGCGGUCUGUCACGUCGGGAGUGAAAACUCAGGGCUUAACCCUGAGCCUGCUUCCGAUACGGGCAUCACUGGAGUUCGGCAGGGGAGACUGGAAUUCCUGGUGUAGCGGUGAAAUGCGCAGAUAUCAGGAGGAACACCGAUGGCGAAGGCAGGUCUCUGGGCCGAUACUGACGCUGAGGAGCGAAAGCGUGGGGAGCGAACAGG